GGACUACUGGGGUAUCUAAUCCCGUUCGCUCCCCCAGCUUUCGCGCCUCAGCGUCAAGAGUGCCCCAGGAGACCGCCUUCGCCACUGGUGUUCCUACCGAUAUCUACGCAUUUCACCGCUACACCGGUAAUUCCAUCUCCCCCUAGCACCUUCAAGACAGACAGUAUCGACCGACCCUCCGGAGUUAAGCUCCGGGCUUUCACAGCCGACUUGUCCCCCCGCCUACGCGCGCUUUACGCCCAGUAACUUCGGACAACGCUGGCCCCCUACGUAUUACCGCGGCUGCUGGCAC
rnacentral:rRNA from 1 species